GAUGAACGCUGGCGGCGUGCCUAAUACAUGCAAGUCGAGCGAACGGACGAGAAGCUUGCUUCUCUUUUGUUAGCGGCGGACGGGUGAGUAACACGUGGAUAACCUACCUAUAAGACUGGGAUAACUUCUGGAAACCGGAGCUAAUACCGGAUAAUAUUUUUAACCGUAUGGUUCAAGAGUGAAAGACGGUCUUGCUUUCCCUCAUAGAUAGAUCCGCGCUGCAUUGGCUAGUUGGUAAGGUAACGGCUUACCAAGGCAACGAUGCAUAGCCGACCUGAGAGGGUGAUCGGCCACACUGGAACUGAGACACGGUCCAGACUCCUACGGGAGGCAGCAGUAGGGAAUCUUCCGCAAUGGGCGAAAGCCUGACGGAGCAACGCCGCGUGAGUGAUGAAGGUCUUCGGAUCGUAAAACUCUGUUAUUAGGGAAGAACAUAUGUGUAAGUAACUGUGCACAUCUUGACGGUACCUAAUCAGAAAGCCACGGCUAACUACGUG
rnacentral:rRNA from 1 species